AAUUCUCAACCCCACCGAUUUGCUUCGGGGGGAUUGGACUUGGAGCGUGCUGGCGAAGGUCGGCUCCUCUUUAAAUGCAUCAGUGGAGAGAAGCUUGCCCCAGUGUGAUAAUCCUGUUGCGCUGUGGUGGGUGAAAGUCUGCUACCAACCGUCCCUCCGGGGACAUACAUCAUCUUAU
rnacentral:misc_RNA from 1 species